rnacentral:tRNA from 1 species
AUUUUGGUGGUUCAGUGGUAGAAUUCUCACCUUCCAUGUUGGGGACCUGGGUUAGACUCCAGCCAAUGUA